rnacentral:tRNA from 1 species
GCGCCCGUAGCUCAGUGGAUAGAGCACUGGCCUCCGGAGCCAGGUGCAUAGGUUCGAUUCCUAUCGGGCGUACCA